rnacentral:lncRNA from 1 species
AGCUUGAAUUUUGUGUUUCUGUUUCUUUGCAUGGCAGGCAUUGUCAGUGUUCCCUCUGUAUCUUCUGGACAUUCACCAUUCCUGUAAAUGCAAAAGGAUUUUUACUGUAUGCAUCUCUAACUCUCUGCCUAGGAGAUCUCGCUAGAGUAUACAAGGAAUGGAAAAAUACCCACAACAGAGUGAAAAAUGAAGCUUUCAAUCAGGAAUCCAG